AAAAACAAAAUGCAUUGGGAGAGGAAAGAAGUGAUACCAAUCAGGAAAAACAUUAUGAGGCUGAGCAUCUAAGAUGUCUGGUUAUUUGCAAAUAAGACAAAAGUGAACCUAGAAGGCGUUAACAUUCAAAUAUUAAAGUUGAAGAGGGUUAAGGUGACCAGAAAGACAUUGGUUGAGGUAUACAGCUGAAUAACAAUGAUGGAGCCAGAAAUUGUUGAGGGGAGACAAAUAAGAAAAAUUAUGAAGCAUAAAUAGAAAAGUUAUGGAAUAUAAUGAACAUCAGUAAGUUCUUUUAUUUUGAGAAAGGUUGAUGCUACCAUCAUUAUUAUUCAAUAAAUUAAUCCAUUUUAUAUUAUUCAAUAAAUUAAGCAAUUUUAUAUCUUAGAGAUUGGGAUCUUUUAUGUAUUCUUGUUCGCCUAUCAAAAAAAUGUUCAAGAAAAGAAAUAAAUAUAUAAAUUAUUCAACCAAAACAAUGAAAACAUUAGUAAAAAUAUUUUUAAAAUUUUAUAAAAAU
rnacentral:lncRNA from 1 species